rnacentral:lncRNA from 1 species
UGAUUUUCUUCUUCUUUGUGGUCUUUUUCUCCUGAAAGUUGGGGCCCAGUCCUUGGCUGUCUCCAUGUAAUGAUCUUGGACCAUGGUAGAAAAUGCACCAAAUAGGAUCAUAUGAAUUGCUGUCUAGCCUUAGUCAAUAAACCUGUAGGACUUCUAACAAAAGUGUACCUGUAAAUGUCCUGAAUCCAGCAUUGUUAAGCUGUCAUCAACAGUCUUGUGUCUGUUUUACUGUUAUAAUAUUAGGUAAAUAUGGAAGUAAAAGCAUUCCACAGGAUCAUCAUUUUAAAAAAGGAAUUCAAGUCCUAUUUUCUAAAUACAGUAGAAAUUAAUUCAGAUCUAUUUAUUAAUAAGCGUUUCAGAUCUCUGCAGCUGCCAGUGUGGGACUCAUCUUUACCUUAAACCAGGAACCAGAGGCUUUUGUUUGCUUAAAUAUGAUUCUCUUAAACUUUUGUAUUCAAGAAAUUAAAAUCCUCCUUUGGGGAUAAUUCUUGUUUAUUCUGCCAUCACAGACUAUGUUUUAACUUAUAGAUUGGUGGUUCGAUACCUGUUAGACACUUGCUAAUGUUUCCAGAAGGACUUCCUGUAUUGGUGAAAGUAAAGAUGAUUGGGGAGGGAGGAUGAUUUUUGUCCUUAUUGUACCCUUGGUUUGACACUAGAAAUCUGUCCUGUGGCAUGCAAGACAAAGCAAAUUAUUUUUAAAAGAAAAAAGAUAACCAAAGUACUUUGGUGUCAUUAUUCUACCCUCUCCAUUCAAUGAGAAGUGAAAUGAAAAGUGAGAACAGCUAUCUUCCAAGGUUUUUUAGGAACUCAACUGGAAAGAAAAGAAAUGAAGAAGUACUUCUGGAUCCAAGUGUCCGUCACAGGAUCGGCCUUAACGUCUCUGAGCUCAUGGCCAGUGCCUCCCUCGAGUGUUCCAUGCCAGGCGCUGGCCCCUCACGCAGAGGUUAACUAGUGUCCAUGCAGAAAACAUCUUUCCAGACCCGUUCUUUGGGGCAGUAAUGUAAAUGCAGAUUGAUAAUGAAGUGAUUUCUGCAUUUUAAAAAGGGGAUUUUUUUACACUGUUUCUUUCUAUCCAAAGAAACUAUUUUUUUCCUUUAAAAAAUUAUAAUACAGCCAUGCUCCUUGUAAUUUACUUCUCUGAAGUGUCCUCCCAGAGGACAAGUGUGCUUUUCCAAGAAUGUUAUGACUCUUUAUGAUGAUUGGCAUGAACCGUACUUGAAGCAUUUGUUGUAUAGUCAACUUCUUAAUGUGCAAUUACAGAGAUACUUUGCAAGUCAUUUUGGACAUUAGGUGACUGAUUAAUUGUGUG